AAAAAAAAAAACCCCGAUCUACAAGAUUUGUUUAGUGACACCCUUAAAUGGCUCCCUUAGUUUAAAAAUCCUAACUUUGUCCCUACUUUUAAGGCAUAGGGAUUAAACUUAAAUUACAUAUAAGACUCUUCAGCAUGAAAUCAGUUAUUAAUGAAAACCCUAAAAAAUGACUUCCAUAAAUAGUGAUAGUUUAUAUAUUUAAAAAAAUAUAUUUAUCGUUUGAUAAGUCGUCGGAGUUGAAACAUCUGUCUCUAAAAGAAGAAUGAAAUAAUUCUUUUGUCGUAAAUUAUGUUAAAAACACAUAAUAUAAUUAAAAUAUAUGUUGAUAUAAAAGUAGUAACAACAUUUCCCUUACACCAAAGCUAUUUUAAAUUUAGAUUAUUCUCCUUCCCACGGCCAAUGAAACUCAUAUCUGGAGUGGACCAAGGGCCAAUCACUCAAUCUCAUAUUCGGAGGAAGUGUUUUUGUUUUUUGUUUUUUUUAUGAUUAAAAUCAAAUGUCAAUACCUAAUUGGUUUUCUUACAAUAUUGAUACCUUGUUAUUUCAUCAGCAUUGAAGUUUUAAACCAAAUAUCGAAACGCUACCGUUAGCCUAAGGAAAUAAUAUGGUCAGAAUUUUCAUAUUGUUUCGCAAGAUCUCGUUUGUAUAUGACGUCACACAUUUAUUUAUGGUACGUACUACGUAGUAAAAUUAAUAAGUAUAAUAAUACGUAUAUAAUUUAUAUUACGUCAUUCCUUUAUUUAUACUGAAGACGAUAACAAGUAUUUAUCGAUAUUUUUGUCUUUACAAAUAUUUAUACAGUAAAGUUGAGUUACUUUUUAGUUAGAAAUUAGUUAUGCCAGAUAUUAAGAUUAAUCUAUUAGAGUCUUCUGAUAAUGGUUUAGUCUGUAAGCCCUGGAACCUGUCCUUUAAGGAGAAGACCAGCUUUUUGAUAACGCUAAGACUAAUUUUUAUUGCAACAAAAAUUCUUCAAAAGCUUUGUCAAUCUCUGCCGAUCAUUUCCCCUGCAAGGAUUCUAAGGAGUUUCAUUCCUAUCAGGAGGUCCCCGAGGAAGAUCAAUACUAUCAAGUUGAGGAAGGACGUCUUUCGGUAGCAUCUUUUCCUUCGAAGUCGUCCUUUGUAAAAUGAUAAUCAAGUAUAAGAGACUGCUGCUCUCCUAUCUUCCGAAAAUUCAAUGAAUGUUAAGAAAUUCAUACCGAUGCUUCAACGUCCAGGCUUGCCAACUCUUUUUCGAAUGGGAGGUUAAAGCAAGAGAGAAGAGAUAAAAUUACGUAUCAAUAUACCUGAAGGCAUAACUUUUGCUUAAAUUAUUCGCAAAUUUGCAUGUACCAUUUUUGAAUAAUAAAAGUGUACACCUAUGGAGCUUAAAUCAGGAGAGCUGAAAGCAUCGUUUCAGCAUCACUAUUGUAGGGUGAGUAUUUUCAAUACAGUUUAAAAUAUCAUUUAUAUUAUUAAGACAGGAUUCCUUCGUAUCUCCUUAUAUAAGUGAAUUUUGACCUCCGUGUUUCCGUGAUCCACUCGCUUCCAUUAUCACCAAUAUAUUUUCUGGAUUUUCGUUUUGGUACUAAGUUUUCUUAUGGAAUUUGAUAAGUGGUGUACACGAAUUCCUCUUACAAGCUACUUAUAGAGAAUUUUUCCAUAGAAAAUUGACCUUAAAUUUGCUGUUAUACCAGGAGCUUGCAAUACAUGACGUGACCGUAUAAUUAUAAAUAUCAAUUCAAAUUACUAAUAGAUACUGUAAAUAGUCAUGACCAAGAUAUACAAGUUGAUAAAAACUAAAGAAACACAUAAUUAAUAGGAAACCACUUAAGAAAUAAAUUAGAAUUGCUAAUUGUGGAUAAAUUGUUACAAUUUAUUUUAUAUUAUCAUUGGAGACUAAUAAGUUUUACAUCUUGUACAUAUUAUGCGGAUUCUUCAUGAGAAGAUCCUCUCCGAUGGCGAUACAAAAGUUGAAAAGAAAGAAUACAAAUUCAAGCAUGAUUUAUAUAAUUUAUUUGUUUGAAUUUAUUAUGGAAUAUAUAUUCUUCAUAUGAGAUAAACUCUAAAAACUUAAUAAAUUCUGAAUUUAA
rnacentral:lncRNA from 1 species